UAUCCAAAUGCAUGGUUAAUAGUAUAUGCCCCAACACAGUGGCCAGUCGGAGAGGAGGAUAUAUAUAGAUCAAAUCAAGACAAAAAGAUAUUGCUUUCCUUCUUGGUGAAAACUUAAUUGCCAUUCUUGAAGCUGAAGAUAUUAUACGUAUAUUUUUUGGUGAAUAAGAUAAUAAUAGAUAUAAUACAUCCAAAUCUCUGCUACUCUCCAACUACCUAUUAGUCUCAUUUCACUUUCUUUGAGCUAGUGGAUAAGUGGAACACACACACAAUAAAAAUUUGAAAUGCAAAAGAAAAAUAAAAAGAUAAAUGGAGUAUGGUAUGUUAACCUUAAAUAUAGAGAAAUAUACAUUUGAAACAUAAUUGCGCUCUUGGUCAUGCAACUCAGAUUCAUGUGAAUAUGAAACCAGAUUUAAGCCGUAUAAAACCUUUACCAUACAAUUUUAUUUUAUUUUUAAAUUUUUGGGUCCUGUAAUGGGAACUGAUUCCACCAAGCACUUGUCCUCUUUGGCUUCCUCCAAUAUCUGUCCACUAGUGUUUAUUUUCUUUCCUUCUAUGUUUCUUAUUUUUGGUUAUUUAUACAUAUAUUUUCUUAGCCAACCCAUUUGAAUAUGUUUAUUGUUUGGUUGUUGUAUACACUUAUAUUUAGUCCAUUGCAUCGAUCUGGCUGAUGCAGAUUUGUGUAGCUCCCAAUCACUAGGUGGUCCUAUAUUUUAUUCUGUAGAUCCAUUUUCUUGUGUUAAUUAUUUAGAAGCCCAAGAAUUGAUAGAUUGCAUUUUCUUCUAGAGUGACAAAGAAAGCACGAAGACGAAGAAUGGUGUCAGACACAUAGUCCGCAUUUUAAUUAAAGUAGCACUAAUAAGGAGAGGGAGGGGAUUAGCGAGAAGUCAAAUUGAAGCAAAAUCUAAAGCAUUACUUUCUUAUAUUAUCACAUAAGGGAAAUGAUGAUUCUCCUUUCUAGUCUAUCAUAUAUCUUUCAACCAUAGAUUUUUCAACAAACUGAUUAUAAUUUAGGCCACUCGAUAUCUCCAAUGUUUAUCUUUUCUUUGACAUUAAUAUUUGGAUCUUCAAUCGCCACCGACUUAUGUUUUUCAGGAGUAUUAUUCUCUCUCUUGUUUAUUCAAAAAGGUUUGACAUAUUUCUAUAUUAGAAAACUAAUAAUUUUAAACUUCUAUUUAUCCUUAUAAUAAUAUGCUCAUAUAAAUGUCAUAACAUGUUUAAGAGCAUAAAUUCUAACAAUAUUUAUAAUAUGUGUCGAAUUAUGUUAUUCUUUCUUAAACUAUGAGAGUAUUUGGAUUGGCUUUGAAAUCAGCUUUUAAACUCUUUCUAUCUUUUUUCAGUAUUUGACAAAGUUAAAAAGUACUUAAAAUAAGAUAAAAACUGCUUAAAAAAAGUCAAAAGUAAUAAACUGAGUAACUCUAACUUGUUGCCUUUUGGCUUAAAAGUUAUUUAUGCUGAAAAGCCAAUCCAAACGGGCUCUAUAUAUCCGGUCAAACACUAUCCUACAAAAUAAAAUACAAAAGUAUGAAAUAAGCUUAAGCGAUUGAAUUUGAUCUCAAUAAGGAGAAUAUAUAUAUAACAAAUGUCACCAUAAUACCUUUUUGUUCAAAUCAGAAAUGUCUAUCAAAUUAACUUACCUUUCAAUUCAAUGGAAAGCGGUCUUUUGGUGCUCGCGGAAGAUGAGCGGCAGGAAAUGACCGAAAUAUAUCUGUCUACAAGCGGAAGGCAUUAACGAAUAUAUUCAAGUAAAACAACUAUCAAAUGCGAAUUGAUAUCGAAAUGGAGUUUUCUUACUUACGGAGGCGCUUUUAUUAUCAAAUGAGGUCCGAUCAGAACUUGAAGAACGAACAUAUACUGAUAAUAAGGUUGAGUGGUCAUGAUGGGGAAGACAGGCACAUGAAGAACUAACUCACUUACCACAACUGAAACACAUUAUUUUUUCCACUAUGCUAGGAAGUACUUUAAUGGUACUAUGAAUUAUGAUGUCAGAUGAAAGCCAUAAAACUUUUCGAACUGAUCACUGACAAUUCUUGUGCAUGAGUUAGUAAUGCACGUGCCCUGCUUCUCCAUCUUGAUCUCCACUCACCUUUUUCAUAGACUACAUUUUUUUAGCAGUUCACAUAUAGGGAGAAUUCUGAAAGACAGGAGAUGAUCGAGGGAUAGUUUGU
rnacentral:lncRNA from 1 species